rnacentral:lncRNA from 1 species
UCAAUCUCACUGUGCAUCUCCAUGGCUUAAACUGUGCCAAGGUUAGCAUUCAAGUGUCUGAGUUCAUUCAACAACAAAAAGGCUUUCUCACUCAACCAUUCGUCGUACAAAUAGAAGAAAUCACACUGGUUGCUCUGUGAAAUCAACAAAAUAGUGUAGGAAAUAUGCAUUACACAUAAAUAAGCUUAAACAUAACACUGAAAUAACUAUCUUUCAAUCUUAUCCUUCUUCUACCACACUUCCAAUACCUCCUACCCAUGUUAUUUUUAGUUCGUGCAAUGAACAGUCUUGCUCGUUUACGACAAUCACAUGGGAAGAAGGAAACCUCGGCAACAACGUUGAUUGCUUCUUCAUAUGUAUUGGGUACUUGAUAGGAACUUAAGCAACCAAUCUUUU